UACGGAGGGUGCGAGCGUUAAUCGGAAUUACUGGGCGUAAAGCGCGCGUAGGCGGUCUGAUCAGCCGGUUGUGAAAGCCCCGGGCUCAACCUGGGAACGGCAUCCGGAACUGUCAGGCUAGAGUGCAGGAGAGGAAGGUAGAAUUCCCGGUGUAGCGGUGAAAUGCGUAGAGAUCGGGAGGAAUACCAGUGGCGAAGGCGGCCUUCUGGCCAGUUACUGACGCUCAUGCGCGAAAGCGUGGGGAGCAAACAGGAUUAGAUACCCUGGUA
rnacentral:rRNA from 1 species